rnacentral:tRNA from 1 species
CAGGACGUUGGAAAGCGGCAAUCCGCCGGCUUUGGGAGCCGGAUAGCGUGGGUUCGAAUCCCACCGUCCUGA